UUUAUAAACCACAACAACAACAACAACAAUAACAACAACAACAACGUCUGAGGUGGAGAUUUAUUCGACAUUUUUGUAAAUUAUCUUCAGUUUAUAUAUUGUUUGAGUGUGUAUCACCUGGAGACUGAUGUAUGAGGUCAUCCUUUUACCAGAAGAAUUGCAGAUAUCAGCAGUGAUAUAAAAGUUGAUACAAGUGGCAGAAGUAGUGGAGAUAUAUAGUUCCAGCAGUGUGGAGGAUAUAAUACAUUGUCAGAAUUACUACUUGCUGAGUGUCAGUAUGUUGAAGCUCAGGUGUCACAUGCACAUCCUCAACACCAUGUGCUUCUUCCUUCACUUCUCACCUUGAAAUAUUCUUAUGGAACAUUAUCACUCAUUUAAGUAGUAAAUGAAUUUUCAUCUGGUCAAAGUAUACUAAUAGUGUACUAGUAACCUCUCACAUGUACUACAAUCUGUUACAUCUGGACAUAGUACACCAAAAAUGUACUAGUAAACUACUAGCUGUUACAUUCGGACAUAAUUUGCUAGUGGUGUACAAGUAACCUCUCUCAUGUACUAUCAACUGUUUGAUCUAGACAUGGUUUACUAGCAGUGUACCACUAACCUCACUUGUACUACCAGUAUGUAGUACACCAACACUGUACUAGUAACCUCUCACAUGUACUACUAGCUGUUAUAAAUUAAAUGUGAGAUUAACUGUUCAAGAUAACCAUAUUAGUGUU